rnacentral:misc_RNA from 1 species
GAUGAAGAACGCAGCGAAAUGCGAUAAGUAAUGUGAAUUGCGGAAUUCAGUGAAUCAUCGAAUCUUUGAACGCACAUUGCGCCCGCCAGUAUUCUGGCGGGCAUGCCUGUUCGAGCGUCAUUUCAACCAUCAAGCCCCAGGCUUGUGUUGGGGACCUGCGGCUGCCGCAGGCCCUGAAAACCAGUGGCGGGCUCGCUGUCACACCGGGCGUAGUAGAUUUUAUCUCGCUCAGGGCGUGCUGCGGGUUCCGGCCGUUAAAAAGCCUUUUUUACCCAAGGUUGACCUCGGAUCAGGUAGGAAGACCCGCUGAACUUAAGCAUAUCAAUAAGCGGAGGA